rnacentral:rRNA from 1 species
AACGAACGCUGGCGGCAUGCCUAACACAUGCAAGUCGAACGAGACCUUCGGGUCUAGUGGCGCACGGGUGCGUAACGCGUGGGAACCUGCCCUUAGGUUCGGAAUAACUCCCCGAAAGGGGUGCUAAUACCGGAGAAUGUCUUCGGACCAAAGAGUUAUCGCCUUUGGAUGGGCCCGCGUUGGAUUAGCUAGUUGGUAGGGUAAAAGCCUACCAAGGCGACGAUCCAUAGCUGGUCUGAGAGGAUGAUCAGCCACACUGGGACUGAGACACGGCCCAGACUCCUAGGGGAGGCAGCAGUGGGGAAUACUGGACAAUGGGCGAUAGCCUGAUCCAGCAAGGCCGCGUAAGUGAUGAAGGCCUUAGGGUUGUAAAGCUCUUUUACACGGGAUGAUAAUGACAGUACCGGGAGAAUAAGCUCCGGCUAACUCCGUG